CGUCAAGUCAUCAUGGCCCUUACGGCCAGGGCUACACACGUGCUACAAUGGUCGGUACAAAGGGUUGCCAAGCCGCGAGGUGGAGCUAAUCCCAUAAAACCGAUCGUAGUCCGGAUCGCAGUCUGCAACUCGACUGCGUGAAGUCGGAAUCGCUAGUAAUCGUGAAUCAGAAUGUCACGGUGAAUACGUUCCCGGGCCUU
rnacentral:rRNA from 1 species